rnacentral:rRNA from 1 species
UACGUAGGGUGCAAGCGUUAAUCGGAAUUACUGGGCGUAAAGCGUGCGCAGGCGGUUAUAUAAGACAGUUGUGAAAUCCCCGGGCUCAACCUGGGAAUUGCAUCUGUGACUGUAUAGCUAGAGUACGGUAGAGGGGGAUGGAAUUCCGCGUGUAGCAGUGAAAUGCGUAGAUAUGCGGAGGAACACCGAUGGCGAAGGCAAUCCCCUGGACCUGUACUGACGCUCAUGCACGAAAGCGUGGGGAGCAAACAGG